CUUAUUUUUAAGAACAAUCGAGUUGAAGCUUUUCUAUAGUUUUCGAUUUUUUUGAUCAGAAAUGAUGGAAGUGGCUAUUUCCUGCACCUCAAUGGGUAGGAAUCCAUAAAAAUGCUCCUGAUCUGUGAAGAAGAGAAAUGAUGGAAUAGCCAAUUUCCUGACCCUCAAUGUCUUUAGGAUUGAAACAACGCUGAAAAGAUGAUCUGGAGACAAAUUUGCAGUGCAUACAAACUAUUGUAUCAAUAACUUAAAGUGAAACCGGAGAAGAAAACGAUCAAUAUCAAUUUUCAUCCGAAUUCAUGUUAAUAUGUUGCAUUAGGAUAAUUUUGAAUAGAAAAGUUUUUCCAAGGAUUUUCUCUUCAAUUUCUGAUGAAACUUCAUAUGCUCUAACACAUCUAGUUUUGAUUACCCACUUGGAAGUAUAUGGUUGAAGAUCUUUAGCAAAGUAAACAGAGGCAUUGUUGGAAUAUAGAAUCUGAAAUGGGUAUAUAAUGAUCAGCCAAUUUUUCAAGUACAGAAAGUGUAGAAGUUGUCUUAUCUAAGAGGCAAAGCAUGGAAUCUGAAAUAUAAAUAACUCCAGUCUGCUUCAUGUUAUGCAAGAUAAUUAGUGGAUGCUUACUUGUUGUGUUAGAUAGCUGUUGGAUAUUUAUUUGUCUUGGAAUGAUCAAUUUAUAGUUCCCAUAUAAUCUGACACAGCUGCCUAUCUGCCUAUCU